rnacentral:lncRNA from 1 species
CCAAAUGAGCCUCUGUCAGCACCUUUGCUCCAGAUUUUUCUUUUUUAAAUCUACACGACUUGUCAUCAUGACCUUGAUGCUUGCAAUAAACACAAUACUUAGGCAGGUUAUCGAUCACUAUUUGUUGAUGAAUCUCGACAGUUUUACCUGAUAUUCUAUCAACAAUCUGCAGUUUGAUCUUCUUAGGAUGAUUAUCCAAAAGAUCAAUUAUAACCUUAACUCUUGCCGCGCUAGGUCUCGAUCUAUCCUGUGUUGCCUUGUCCAUAGCCAGAGGUUGAAAGAUCAAUUAUAACCUUAACUCUUACCGCGCAAGGUCUAGAUCUAUCCUGGGUUGCCUUGUUCACUGCCAGAGGUUUUCCCACAGCUGAG